CCUACGGGUGGCUGCAGUCGAGAAUCAUUCACAAUGGGGGAAACCCUGAUGGAGCGACGCCGCGUGAGGGACUAAAGUUCUUCGGAUUGUAAACCCCUUUCGUCUGGAAACAAAUUCAAAAUAUAGUACCACACGAGGAAGACACGAAUAACACUGUUCGAGCAGCUGCGGUAAUACAGAGGACGCAAGCGUUGUUCGGAGUCACUGGGCGUAAAGGGUGCGUAGGCUGUUUCGCAGGUCAGGCGUGAAAUGCCGGGGCUCAACCCCCGGGCGGCAGAUGAUACGGGGGAACUAGAGUACUGGAGGGGGAAGCGGAAUGUGUGGUGUAGCAGUGAAAUGCAUAGAUAUC
rnacentral:rRNA from 1 species